UGCUUUUAAUAUUCUAUCUUUAUUUAGUGCAUUUGUUGUUCUGAUUAUUUUGUGUCGGGAGGAAUUUCCUUUCUGGUCCAGUCUAUUUGGAGUUCGGUAGGCUUCUUGUAUGUUCAUGGGCAUCUUUCUUUAUGUUUGGAAAGUUUUCUUCUAUUAUUUUGUUGAAGAUAUUUGCUGGCCCUUUAAGGUGAAAAUCUUCCUUCUCAUCUACUCCUAUUAUCUGUAGUUUUGGUCUUCUCAUUGUGUCCUCUAUUUCCUGGAUGUUUUGAGUUAGGAUCUUUUUGCAUUUUCCAUUUUCUUUGAUUGUUGUGCUGAUGUUUUCUAUGGAAUCUUCUGCACCUGAGAUUCUCUCUUCCAUCUCUUGUAUUCUGUUGGUCAUGCUUGCAUCUAUGGUUCCAGAUUUCUUUCCUAGUGUUUUAUCUUCCCUUUUUAGGUCUAGUAUGGCUUUGUCAUUUCCAUCACCUGUUUGGAUGUUUUUUCCUGUUUUUCUUUAAGGACUUGUUACUCUUUAGCAUUGUUGUCCUGUAUUUCUUUAAGUGAGUUAUUAAAGUCCUUCUUGAUGUCCUCUACCAUUAUCAUGAGAUAUGCUUUUAAAUCCGGUCUAGCUUUUCGGGUGUGUUUGGGUGCCCAGGACUUGGUGAGGUGGGAGCGCUGCAUUCUGAUGAUGGUGAGUGGUCUUGGCUUCUGUUAGUAAGAUUCUUACGUUUGUCUCUCGCCAUCUUGUAAUGUCUGGAGUCAGUUGUUAUAAUGGUCUCUGGUUAGAGCUUGUUCCUCUUGUGAUUCUGUUAGUCUCUAUCAGAAGACCUGGGAGACUAGCUCUCUCCUGAGUCUCAGUCGUCAGAGCACUCUCUGCAGGCAAGCUCUUCUCUUGCAGGGAAGUUGCCCAGAUAUCUGGUGUUCGAACCUGCCUCCUGGCAGAAGUUGUGUUCCACUCACCAGAGGUCCUAAGAUCCUGUGGAGAGUGCUCUGGGAAACUUGGGGGUGUCUGCAGACUCCACGCCCAAGGUAACUUGGUGCUGGGGAUGACUGGAAGGGACUUGUGACCCUGGUCAGUCCGGGUUUUAUGCUUCCCUAAUUAAUGCUGUCUCAGGUCCCAAGCGAUUGGAUUGGAACAGAAGUUGUGUUCUACUCACCAGAGGUCCUAAGGUCCCAUGGAGAGCGCUCUGAGGACCUUGGGGGUGUCCACAGACUCUGAGCCCAAGGUGACCCAGUGCUGGGCCAACCGGAAGGAAGAAUAUAGAUUUGGGAGUGAGCAGGUACCAGAAAUGUUCAUAAGUAAAGGGACAGCCGGCCACCUUCCUGGUGAGAGCACGGGGGUCUGCCUGGCCUGAGAGGUUUGUGGCACAGGCGCCGGCGGGAGCCUUCUUGGCUCCGGGACUCCGCGGAGGGCAGGCUGCACGGGUGACCGUGUGGAAUACAGAGUGCCAGCUGUUUCUGGGACGGGCGAGAGAGUCGCAGAGCUUCUGGGCGGCGCCAUCUUCAGCUCUAGACAGCCGGC
rnacentral:lncRNA from 1 species